rnacentral:sRNA from 1 species
UUUCAGGAAAAUUUAAUAAUGUAGGUAUUAAAGGGACAAAACAUGUUAAAAAAAAGUAUUAAACGGACAAAUUAAAAUAAGACGGUGGU